AGAGAGUUGGAGAGAGACGGCCGCGGAGGACACGGGGACGGGAAAGUCUGAGAGACGGGGAGAGCCUGACCCGGCGGGACACAGGCAAAAAGAAACACGCGAGCCAGACAGAAGCAGAAGAAACGUGCCUGGUACUGGAUAGGAACUUCAUGGAAUGGAGCUAAUGGGCCGUAGGGCAGUUUUGAGUCGUGCCACCCUGGAGCGGAAGGUGGAGGGUAGGGAUAAGGGGGUGGAGCACCUGAUUCCAAUCUUGCCACAGGGAAGAAGAGUCUGAAGAACAUUCCUUAGGGUCUUUGGCUGGGCUCUGGGAUGGAUGCCGUGGGAGUACCUUUACCUAAGCUCUAAAGUUACCAAUGGAGAGACUGGGACUCAAAGAGGAACUUGAUUGGACCCCAGAGAGGUGAGGGGUAAGGGCUAGAACCUCACACAUGCUGGUUUUGCUGCUGCCUGGCAGGCCCAUGGGAAGAACUUUAGAGGUUCCAAGGAAUUGGAAAAGGGUCACAAGAUGGGUGGCCAAACUCCCAGCUCAGGCUUGAUUCCUACUCUCAAUGUGGGGAUAGUGGGGAAGGGGGCUGCAGGAAGGGCUGAGAAAAGCUGAGAAUGAGAAGUUAUACAGGAGGUAGCUUGGUGGGAGUGAAACAAAAAUGAGUGGUUCCUGGGCCAGCCAGGCAUCCUGAUUUCCAGCUCACAGCAGCAGGAGCUUCAGCGAGGAAGAAGGAGAGGAGGAGAAAGCCAGGUUGAUGUUAGUAAAGGUCAAACAAUUUCAGGAGCACCUCUGACCUCCCUCCACACAGGUUUUCUUACCUUGACUAUGCAGAGGGUGGUCCAUCUUGGCACUGAAGGUGGAACCCCCUCUUCCAUUGUCUGGGGUGACCCCAUGCCUGUAACUGAAUGUGCUCAGAUCCUUGGGGUACGGGGACUGUAUGGGGAGGAUUUGAAGGUGUGGGACUGUCCUGGCUGGAGACCACUGGGUCAGGAGAACUCCAGUAGAGGGUUUGGGUGCUGGGAACCAGGAAGAGUGGGGGAAGGGGCAGAGCCAACUCCAGAGGCGGAUCUCCUGGCUGAGGACAGAGGGUGUAUUGUCCAAGCAGGAGGUUGCUGCAGCUGGGCGGGGAGCAGCUCAGCUCGUCUCUUCCAAAUUUCUUUUGGGGGAGGGUAAGGGAAGCCGGGCCCCUCUUUACUUGUGGCCCUGGGGGCUACAAUGGUUGCUGAGAAACAAGGCUUAUUUGACAAAUAAUGCUUCCCAGGAGCAGAUGUGUAGCUCUCUCACUUCCUGAGAAACCAGAUGCUGUGAGCUCGCUUAGCACUUGAGGCGAUGCCCUCAGCACGAACUGGGACCCUAGUGCCUUGGGAUCCAGAGUAUAGUGCUUGAUUCUAUUGAGAAGAAACGAGGCUAAUGUGGACUGGGAGACACACGGGACCUAAUCAACCUCAAGUUAGCCCUUUUGAAGUAGGUUGCUGCACCUGCACUUUCCCCCUACUCGUCCAGUAGUUCAAGAUUUACAAGACGUUGGCAACGAGGGCUGACCAGUCCUGGGUCCAUUCCUGCAGCUGGGGGGCUUCUGGGUGGACCCACACUUUUUUUUUUGAGACAGGGUCUUGCUCUGUUGCCCAGGCUGGAGUGUAGUGGUGUGAUCACAGGUCACUGCAGCCUUGACCUCCUGGGUUCAAGUGAUCCUUCCUCCCAAGUAGCUGCGACUAUGGGCAUACACCACCAUACCUGGAUAAUUUUUCUAUUUUUUUGUAGAGACAGGGUCUUGCCAUGUUGCCCUGACUGGUCUCAAACUCCUAGGAUCAAGCGAUUCUCCUGCCUCAUCCUCCCAAAGUGCUGGGAUUACAGGUGUGAGCAACCAUUGAGACAGUCUCGCUCUGUCACCCAGGCUGGAGUGCAGUGGUGCGAUCCCGGUCCACUGCAACCUCCACUUCCCGGGUUCAAGCGAUUCUUCUGCCUCAGCCUCAUGAGUAGCUGGGACUACAGGUGUACACCACCAAGCCUAAUUUUUGUAUUUUUAGUAGAGACGGGGUUUCACCCUAUUAGCCAGGCUGGUCUAGAACUCCUGACCACAUGAUCUGCCCGCCUUGGCCUCCCAAAGUGCUGGGAUUACAGCUGUGAGCCAUGGCACCUGGCCACACAUGUCUUUUUAAAUUUAAAUGAGGAUGUGGCCAUAUUACAGCCCAGGUUUUCUCUGACUUUAGAGUACCUUUUGGGACAUAGGGCCUUCCUCUCUACCCUUUCUGUACGCAGCCAUCAUAAACCUUUCAACAAGCCUUUCCUAUUUUUAUGUUCCUUCUUUCCAUCAUUUACCUAGACCUCAUUAUUGCACAGCUGAGAGUGGCUUGAAACAAAGGCUUGGAGAAUGUGAGUGAAACUGAUUCCUGUGGUGGAGAGGCAGUGAAAAAGCAUUACCUUGUAGGUUUCCAGGCAGCCUGGACAAUAGGGGCACCUAAACCCACAUUGAAAAGCCUUCACAUCAUCACAGCUGAGUCUCACAGCCUUCAACUUUACCAGUUUUGGAGAACAGAGAUAAAUGCACUGGCCAGAAACUAGAAGAGCAGCUGCUCCAAUUGGCUGGGAAAUGUCAUUUGUGUUAACUGGCUCCUCAUCUUGGCUCUUAAAUCCCCAAAAUUGUUGACUGAGGUUUCCCGGGCUCCUUUCUAUGCUCCACCUCCUUGUGACCUUAAGGAUUCUCUGCCACUGUCCUAACCCCUUUCCCGCCUUACAACAAUGACCAGUCUGUCCCUAGCUGUUUGGAAAAUUCCCACUGAGUCUGUGAGCCUCUGUUCUGGUAACCUCGACCAGCCUGUCACCAGUAUCUCUGGUCCACCAGUGCGGUGUAACUCAAGGGAGCAGCAUCUCUCCAGAUUGCUGAAGUGAGGGAGGGAGAUUAUGAGGGAACUGCCCCAAGGACACAAGGAUUCAUUCUUAGAGUUCCCACAUCUUGAUUAAAAUAAACAGUACAGGAAAUAGACUGCAGGCACAUCCAGGUGAUUAAAAAAUUUAACACCAGGCAGAAAAAAAAAAAAAAAAAAAAAAGCCAGAGGGGAGCUAGGAUGCAAACUAUUAUUGGGCCUCAAUGAACACUGAAAUAGAUUCCCUUGUAACCCCACCCUCUAAUCUUGGACAAUAUGGUAUCCAAUACUGAAUGAAAACUUCAGAGAUGGUAGGGGAAGGAGGAGCAGGUGGUCAAUGACUCCAGUAAAAACCACUGGGAGUGCAGAGUAUUUGUCAAAGAACUUCAGCAUUACAAUGAACUUUAAAGAUCAGAUUUAUUUGGAGAAAACAAAAAACCCACAACCCAAAGGAUGGGAUUUUACAUCAAGACAUCUCCCAGGUAAUAAGUCUACAGAUUACAAAUCAUUUUCAUAGAAGAUAUUUUUGUACAAAUUUUACAUGUAUUCAGGAGCGGGACAUUAAUCAAUCCCUGUUUCUAUUUUAAUAGGGGGGACAAGGUAGGGGAGAGGGAAAAACAGUUUUGGAUGUAACUAUUUGGAAGGAGAGUAGACAUGAAGAGGGCAAACCCUAGCUUUUCAUUAUCUACAAUUAAUAGUUUUUUUUUCUUUUUUAAAAAAGAAAAAAAAAAAACCUU